UGGGGAAUAUUGGACAAUGGGCGAAAGCCUGAUCCAGCCAUGCCGCGUGUGUGAAGAAGGUCUUCGGAUUGUAAAGCACUUUAAGUUGGGAGGAGGGGCAGUAAGCGAAUACCUUGCUGUUUUGACGUUACCGACAGAAUAAGCACCGGCUAACUCUGUGCCAGCAGCCGCGGUAAUACAGAGGGUGCAAGCGUUAAUCGGAAUUACUGGGCGUAAAGCGCGCGUAGGUGGUUCGUUAAGUUGAAUGUGAAAGCCCCGGGCUCAACCUGGGAACUGCAUCCAGAACUGGCGAGCUAGAGUAGGGCAGAGGGUGGUGGAAUUUCCUGUGUAGCGGUGAAAUGCGUAGAUAUAGGAAGGAACACCAGUGGCGAAGGCGACCACCUGGGCUCAUACUGACACUGAGGUGCGAAAGCGUGGGGAGCAAACAGG
rnacentral:rRNA from 1 species